UACGUAGGGGGCGAGCGUUGUCCGGAAUUACUGGGCGUAAAGGGUGUGUAGGCGGUUGUUUAAGUUUGGUGUGAAAUCUCCCGGCUCAACUGGGAGGGUGCGCCGAAUACUGAAUGACUAGAGUGCGGGAGAGGAAAGUGGAAUUCCUGGUGUAGCGGUGAAAUGCGUAGAUAUCAGGAGGAACACCGGUGGUGUAGACGGCUUUCUGGACCGUAACUGACGCUGAGACACGAAAGCGUGGGGAGCAAACAGG
rnacentral:rRNA from 1 species